rnacentral:rRNA from 2 species
CGGGUGGUAAUGCCGGAUGCUCCAGUUGAUCGCAUGGUCUUCUGGGAAAGCUUUCGCGGUAUGGGAUGGGGUCGCGUCCUAUCAGCUUGACGGCGGGGUAACGGCCCACCGUGGCUUCGACGGGUAGCCGGCCUGAGAGGGCGACCGGCCACAUUGGGACUGAGAUACGGCCCAGACUCCUACGGGAGGCAGCAGUGGGGAAUAUUGCACAAUGGGCGCAAGCCUGAUGCAGCGACGCCGCGUGAGGGAUGGAGGCCUUCGGGUUGUAAACCUCUUUUAUCGGGGAGCAAGCGAGAGUGAGUUUACCCGUUGAAUAAGCACCGGCUAACUACGUGCCAGCAGCCGCGGUAAUACGUAGGGUGCAAGCGUUAUCCGGAAUUAUUGGGCGUAAAGGGCUCGUAGGCGGUUCGUCGCGUCCGGUGUGAAAGUCCAUCGCUUAACGGUGGAUCCGCGCCGGGUACGGGCGGGCUUGAGUGCGGUAGGGGAGACUGGAAUUCCCGGUGUAACGGUGGAAUGUGUAGAUAUCGGAAAA